rnacentral:misc_RNA from 1 species
GAUGAAGAACGCAGCGAAAUGUGAUAAGUAAUGCGAAUUGCAGAAUUCAGUGAGUCAUCGAAUCUUUGAACGCACAUUGCGCCCUGUGGUAUUCCGCAGGGCAUGCCUGUUCGAGCGUCAUUUCAACCCUCAAGCUCUGCUUGGUGUUGGGCCCUGCCCGCUGCGGCCGGCCCUAAAGACAGUGGCGGUGCCGCCUGGCCCUGAGCGUAGUACAUCUCUCGCUCCAGUGCCCGGUGGUAGCCUGCCAGAACCCCAACUCUCGUGGUUGACCUCGGAUCAGGCAGGGAUACCCGCUGAACUUAAGCAUAUCAAUAAGCGGAGGA